GACGAACGCUGGCGGCGUGCCUAAUACAUGCAAGUCGAACGCUGAAGAGAGGAGCUUGCUCUUCUUGGAUGAGUUGCGAACGGGUGAGUAACGCGUAGGUAACCUGCCUUGUAGCGGGGGAUAACUAUUGGAAACGAUAGCUAAUACCGCAUAACAAUGGAUGACACAUGUCAUUUAUUUGAAAGGGGCAAUUGCUCCACUACAAGAUGGACCUGCGUUGUAUUAGCUAGUAGGUGAGGUAAUGGCUCACCUAGGCGACGAUACAUAGCCGACCUGAGAGGGUGAUCGGCCAAACUGGGACUGAGACACGGCCCAGACUCCUACGGGAGGCAGCAGUAGGGAAUCUUCGGCAAUGGGGGCAACCCUGACCGAGCAACGCCGCGUGAGUGAAGAAGGGUUUCGGAUCGUAAAGCUCUGUUGUAAGUCAAGAACGGGUGUGAGAGUGGAAAGUUCACACUGUGACGGUAGCUUACCAGAAAGGGACGGCUAACUACGUG
rnacentral:rRNA from 1 species